rnacentral:rRNA from 1 species
UACGAGGGGGGCGAGCGUUGUUCGGAAUUAUUGGGCGUAAAGGGCGCGUAGGCGGUUUGUUAAGUCAGCUGUGAAAGCCCGGGGCUCAACCCCGGAGAGUCGACUGAUACUGGCAGACUAGAGUACGGAAGAGGUAGCUGGAAUUCCCGGUGUAGCGGUGAAAUGCGUAGAUAUCUGGAGGAACACCGGUGGCGAAGGCGGCAUCCUGGACCGGCAUUGACGCUGAGGCGCGAAAGCCAGGGGAGCAAACGGG